UUGGUCUGCUAAUUAUGUUUUGUAGUUUAUAGUCUAGCAGACCCAUUUUUC
ensembl:ncRNA F54D12.15 ncRNA